rnacentral:rRNA from 1 species
GCUUAACGCGAAGAACCUUACCUACUCUUGACAUCCUGAGAAGUUUGCAGAGAUGCGAACGUGCCUUCGGGAACUCUGAGACAGGUGCUGCAUGGCUGUCGUCAGCUCGUGUUGUGAAAUGUUGGGUUAAGUCCCGCAACGAGCGCAACCCUUAUCCUUUGUUGCCAGCGAUUCGGUCGGGAACUCAAAGGAGACUGCCAGUGAUAAACUGGAGGAAGGUGGGGAUGACGUCAAGUCAUCAUGGCCCUUACGAGUAGGGCUACACACGUGCUACAAUGGCAUAUACAAAGAGAAGCGACCUCGCGAGAGCAAGCGGACCUCAUAAAGUAUGUCGUAGUCCGGAUUGGAGUCUGCAACUCGACUCCAUGAAGUCGGAAUCGCUAGUAAUCGUGGAUCAGCAACGCCACGGUGAAUACGUUCCC